rnacentral:tRNA from 1 species
GCCUUUGUGGUGUAAUGGUCAGCACACUGAGCCGGUAUUUCAGAGGUCCGUGGUUCGAUCCCCAGCGAAGGCA